GACGAACGCUGGCGGCGUGCUUAACACAUGCAAGUCGAACGGAAAGGCCCCUUUGGGGGUACUCGAGUGGCGAACGGGUGAGUAACACGUGAGUAACCUGCCCUUGACUUCGGGAUAACUUUAGGAAACUGGGGCUAAUACCGGAUAGGAAUCCUUGCUGCAUGGUGGGGGUUGGAAAGCUUCGGCGGUUUUGGAUGGACUCGCGGCUUAUCAGCUUGUUGGUGGGGUAGUGGCUUACCAAGGCUUUGACGGGUAGCCGGCCUGAGAGGGCGACCGGCCACAUUGGGACUGAGAUACGGCCCAGACUCCUACGGGAGGCAGCAGUGGGGAAUAUUGCACAAUGGGCGGAAGCCGGAUGCAGCAACGCCGCGUGCGGGAUGACGGCCUUCGGGUUGUAAACCGCUUUCAGCAGGGGCGAAGCUUGUGGUGACGGUACCUGCAGAAGAAGCACCGGCUAACUACGUG
rnacentral:rRNA from 1 species